UACGGAGGGUGCAAGCGUUAAUCGGAAUUACUGGGCGUAAAGCGCACGUAGGUGGUUUGUUAAGUCAGCUGUGAAAUCUCCGGGCUCAACCUGGGCACUGCAGUUGAAACUGGCAAGCUAGAGUAGGGUAGAGGGGUGUGGAAUUCCAGGUGUAGCGGUGAAAUGCGUAGAUAUCUGGAGGAACAUCAGUGGCGAAGGCGACACCCUGGACUCAUACUGACACUGAGGUGCGAAAGCGUGGGGAGCAAACAGG
rnacentral:rRNA from 1 species